rnacentral:miRNA from 1 species
AGGGCCCCCCUCAACCCUGU